rfam:Beta vulgaris subsp. vulgaris contig164861.1, whole genome shotgun sequence.
CUUGUAAUAGCAUAAUGGUAAUGCACCUACUUCAAAGUAGAAUGAUCCAGGUUCAAAUCCUGGUUAGAGUA